GAUGAACGCUGGCGGCGUGCCUAAUACAUGCAAGUCGAGCGAACGGACGAGAAGCUUGCUUCUCUGAUGUUAGCGGCGGACGGGUGAGUAACACGUGGAUAACCUACCUAUAAGACUGGGAUAACUUCGGGAAACCGGAGCUAAUACCGGUUAAUAUUUUGAACCGCAUGGUUCAAAAGUGAAAGACGGUCUUGCUGUCACUUAUAGAUGGAUCCGCGCUGCAUUAGCUAGUUGGUAAGGUAACGGCUUACCAAGGCAACGAUGCAUAGCCGACCUGAGAGGGUGAUCGGCCACACUGGAACUGAGACACGGUCCAGACUCCUACGGGAGGCAGCAGUAGGGAAUCUUCCGCAAAGGGCGAAAGCCUGACGGAGCAACGCCGCGUGAGUGAUGAAGGUCUUCGGAUCGUAAAACUCUGUUAUUAGGGAAGAACAUAUGUGUAAGUAACUGUGCACAUCUUGACGGUACCUAAUCAGAAAGCCACGGCUAACUACGUG
rnacentral:rRNA from 1 species